rnacentral:rRNA from 1 species
AUUGAACGCUGGCGGCAGGCCUAACACAUGCAAGUCGAACGGUAACAGGAAGCAGCUUGCUGCUUCGCUGACGAGUGGCGGCCGGGUGAGUAAUGUCUGGGAAACUGCCUGAUGGAGGGGGAUAACUACUGGAAACGGUAGCUAAUACCGCAUAACGUCGCAAGACCAAAGAGGGGGACCUUAGGGCCUCUUGCCAUCGGAUGUGCCCAGAUGGGAUUAGCUAGUAGGUGGGGUAACGGCUCGCCUAGGCGACGAUCCCUAGCUGGUCUGAGAGGAUGACCAGCCACACUGGAACUGAGACACGGUCCAGACUCCUACGGGAGGCAGCAGUGGGGAAUAUUGCACAAUGGGCGCAAGCCUGAUGCAGCCAUGCCGCGUGUAUGAAGAAGGCCUUCGGGUUGUAAAGUACUUUCAGCGGGGAGGAAGGGAGUAAAGUUAAUACCUUUGCUCAUUGACGUUACCCGCAGAAGAAGCACCGGCUAACUCCGUG